UCUGGCAACGUCCGAGUUGUAAUUUGCAGAGGAGGCUUUGGAGUCGCCCCCGGUCCGAGUUCCUUGGAACAGGACGUCGCAGAGGGUGAGAAUCCCGUACAUGGCCGGGCGGCUUCUCCCUGCAAGGCCCCUUCGACGAGUCGAGUUGUUUGGGAAUGCAGCUCUAAAUGGGAGGUAAAUUUCUUCUAAAGCUAAAUACCGGCCAGAGACCGAUAGCGCACAAGUAGAGUGAUCGAAAGAUGAAAAGCACUUUGAAAAGAGAGUCAAAAAGUACGUGAAAUUGUUGAAAGGGAAGCGUUUGCAGCCAGACUUGGCGGCAGUUGCUCAGCCGGUCUCUGCCCGGUGCACUCUCCUGCUGACAGGCCAGCAUCAGUUUGGGCGGCUUGAUAAAGGCAUUGGGAACGUGGCUCCUCGGAGUGUUAUAGCCCUCUGCACAAUGCGGCCAGCCUGGACUGAGGACCGCGGUUCACGGAUGCUGGCUUAAUGGCUGCCAACGGCCCGUCUU
rnacentral:rRNA from 1 species